UAGAAUUGGAGGGGGAGGGGGAGGCUGGUCGGGGCGCCGGUGCGAGAGAUUUUAGUAUCUCGAACGCGGAUUGGGGGUUGGUUUCAUAUUGUAAAAGACGGAGAUAGGGCACAUAAGGGUGGGUGGGGGUAGGUAUUUUGGCGUCUGCGUUGUUCUCGUGGAAAAGGGAUGGUCUGUGCAUCGAUUGACGAGGGGGGAUACUAUCCAAGAGUCCGGGCCCAGUCAGAAGGCAGACGGUCGUCAAGACUGGCGUUCUCGUGAAUUGCUGCUACACUCUACUGCAAAGCAGCCCCCUCAAGUGUGGGUAAAAGGGGGUGCCAUCGACGUCCACGCUGUUAGUGAUGGUGAUCGUCAACUUGGCGUCAGCCGUAAUUGAAUGUCUUUCCAUUGGACGAUGAGACAUCUCAUCUGAGGUCUGGACCCGCCUCCCCUUCUGUCUCUGCGUCGCCUAGUAACAUCACCAGGUCUGGUAACAACCCACCCCCCCUCCUCCAGAAGGACAUGACAGACAGCAUCACGUUUUCAAUUAUAUCCAGGAUUCACUUGGGGAGUUUAUUGCAACUUGAAACAGGACGACCAAAAAAACUGUCAACACACACGUGUGUAGCUUACAAGUUUCAGCACAGAGCUUCAUUUUAGAUUUGUGCUGCAUCUUCACUGGAAGAAGACCGGAAUUGGCAGGGUUACCCUCAGGAUUACCCACCAUCAUUUCAUCUUCCCUUGAAUUUCUCUCAGUGUAGGAUUUGAAGUUCUCACGGCGGUGAGUACGAAGAUGGUUGCCUUCUGGGUUAGACUACACGGCGCUACAAUCCAGAAGAUAACCGUAUUCGUUCUAUCACAAUGAUUUCCAAUUACUUAUGAAGUUUCAACUAAUCUGCAAAA